GCUGUUGAUACUUCCUAUUUUUCUGCUAAUAAUGUCCAAUAUCUUGCUGCUGAUACUUCCUAUUUUUUUCCUCCUUAUCUUUCCCUUUCCCCUCCCCAUCUUUCUCUUUUCUCUUCCUCCUCUUCUUUUUCUUUCUGUAACUAACUUCUUAGUAGUUAUUUAGAUGUAAGUUUUCUAUUACCUGCAUAAUUUGUCAUCUCCACAAGGGACUACAUUCAAACCAUCUUUGAAUUUAUAGUACUAUACUGAUACUUAUUAUCAAAUAUUUAAAUCACAUUUUGUAUUGCAAUCUUCAUCUGAUAGCUUAUAGCAAGCCAAAUUUAUUUCAAUAGUUAAUUAUGAAAUAGGUAGCUGCUGCUUUGAUAGUAUGAAAAGUAUCACAAAGUAUAUUAUUUCAAAAGAAAAUUAUAAUUAAAUGCCAGUUUCCAGCAGUCACAUACAAAUCUGCGUAUGAUCUGCCAGUGCAGACAACCCUUACAGUGGUCUUGAAAAUCAUGUAUCAAAGAUAACAGAUCCACAAGAUGGAAAGAGCUUAGGCCCCUAAGUCACUACUUGGAGGAGAGCCAUUCAUUUGGGUGUACUUCUUAGGGCUCACAGCUGAGCAAGAAAAUAAACCGUGUGGUUAAACAACUGAGUUUUUUUAGUUUGUUGUUCAUAGGAGCUGGCCUAUUGUGUUAGACUUAACAAAUAUCAGUAGAAUGACAGACUGAGUCAAUAAAUAAAUAAAUGCUACUACUCAACAUUUGUUUCUGCUGAGAGAAGCCUACAUUUUUUUAGUGCUUUGUUUUUUGUCUCCAACUUAAAAAGCCUGACUUUGGAGAUUGUAAGAAAUAAACUGAUUUAAGACUGCUUCAUAUAAAGUAUCUUUUAUGGGUGAAAACCAAGAAGCAUAAAAACCUACUGCUGUGAUGUAUGACAGUUCCCAUAGGUAUACCAUAGGCCAAGAUUACAUCAGCAGCUAAACCAGACCAUAUUUUCUGAUAAUGUAGAAAAAUACACUUAAAUAUCCUGUUACUGAAAAAAAAAACUAAAUUUUCUUUGAAAAUUUUGAAUAUCAAAAUAGAAACAUUAGACCUAGCUUGCAUACUGACUAAAAAUCAAUGUCCUAAAAUUGUUGAGUGCACUCAGAAUUAUCUGGUAUGCUGUCCAAACUUGUUUCUGAAAAUAUAUUUUGGAUGUGAGGUAUAAGUCCCCGAUUACUUAUUUAUCCAAAUUGCUAAAUGUUUAUAAGACUUCAAAGUAAUUUAUUUAAAUUAAAAUUUUCA